GCUGAGCUUGGUAACGCAGGCUUGUUACUCGAGUGGGAGCAUUAAAGUGGUUGGAACAAUUAAAUUGGUUUAUAGUACGUGCAGUUGGCUUUACAGAGCAACAAUGCCUUGACCUGAGAUUUGUAAUACGUCCAGGGUGACCCUUUACGAUUCAUGCAUAGUCUGAAAUCUUUCUAAAUUGGACUAUCAUUUUU
rnacentral:SRP_RNA from 1 species